rnacentral:rRNA from 1 species
UAACCUACCCUCGAGUGUGGAAUAACAUCGGGAAAUCCAUGCUAAUACCGCAUAACAUCCCAAGAUCAAAGGAGCAAUCCGCUUGAGGAGGGGGUCGCGGCUGAUUAGCUAGUUGGCGGGGUAACGGCCCACCAAGGCGAAAAUCGGUAGCCGGCCUGAGAGGGCGCACGGCCACACUGGAACUGAAACACGGUCCAAACUCCUACGGGAGGCAGCAGUGGGGAAUUUUGCGCAAUGGGGGAAACCCUGACGCAGCAACGCCGCGUGGAGGAUGAAGCCCCUUGGGGCGUAAACUCCUUUCGACCAAGACGAUAAUGACGGUACUGGUGGAAGAAGCACCGGCUAACUCUGUGCCAGCAGCCGCGGUAAUACAGAGGGUGCAAGCGUUGUUCGGAAUUAUUGGGCGUAAAGGGCGCGUAGGCGGCGCGGUAAGUCACCUGUGAAAUCCCCGGGCUUAACUCGGGGCCCGCAGGCGA